GACGAACGCUGGCGGCGUGCUUAACACAUGCAAGUCGAACGGAAAGGCCCUGCUUGCAGGGUACUCGAGUGGCGAACGGGUGAGUAACACGUGGGUGAUCUGCCCUGCACUUCGGGAUAAGCCUGGGAAACUGGGUCUAAUACCGGAUAGGAGCCAUUUUUAGUGUGAUGGUUGGAAAGUUUUUUCGGUGUAGGAUGAGCUCGCGGCCUAUCAGCUUGUUGGUGGGGUAAUGGCCUACCAAGGCGGCGACGGGUAGCCGGCCUGAGAGGGUGGACGGCCACAUUGGGACUGAGAUACGGCCCAGACUCCUACGGGAGGGAGCAGUGGGGAAUAUUGCAAAAUGGGCGCAAGCCUGAUGCAGCGACGCCGCGUGGGGGAUGACGGCCUUCGGGUUGUAAACUCCUUUCGCUAGGGACGAAGCUUUUUGUGACGGUACCUAGAUAAGAAGCACCGGCUAACUACGUG
rnacentral:rRNA from 1 species